rnacentral:misc_RNA from 1 species
UGUGGGAGCGAGCCUGCUCGCGAUGACGGUGGCACAUUCAACAUCAAUGUAGUUGACCCACCGCUAUCGCGAGCAGGCUCGCUCCCACA